UAUAUUUUCAGAGGCGGAACCUCUAGCGAAAGUGUCGGCUAUCGUGCUUUUUUUACGCAUAUUUUGUUAUUUACAUAUAUGCAUAGUUUUCGCAUAUGUCUGUUUCAUCUUUCGCACGAACACGACUGCAGUGGGCAGUUUAGUAUAAGAGUUAGUGUUGCGAACACACUAAGAAGUAGAUGCCGCACAUGCUAUGGUUACAUCACGCCAAGCUUGUUACCGAUGCCACGCAGCGAUGGGCAAAGGCUUAGUCAAUUUCAUGCGACUGCGUGCCGGCACUUUCUAGCCGACAGUAAAGUGUUAGCUUUCUGCAUAGUUUCAGCUGGGUCAGUAUAAUGAUUUUUUUUUUUUACUUCUAGUUCGUGAAGAGCCUAUGUAAUGAUGCCCCAAAUUGUCUGCAGUCGAGCAACACAUCAGUGACGAAAAGGCAGGCAAAUGUGGAAUUCGCACACUGUAUGCUUAAAGAAAUGAUGAUGGGCAAACUCGCGUCAAUCAUAACAACCUAUGAAAGCAACCCAAACGCUGUCUUGCAAGAAGCCAUGCGAUGCGCCAUGCCGUACAUGGACAGUUUCUUGAGCACGGAAGAAUUUGUUAAUGCUGCAGCUCACUGGAUUUUCGAAGCCCUUCGAAACGACGACCCUAAGAGAAGUCUGCUGCACUAACGAGCUAAGUCUGGAACUUCGCAAA